rnacentral:rRNA from 1 species
GGGCAAGAUAUGCAGGGCGCACGGCGGAUGCCUUGGCGCAGGGAGACGACGAAGGGCGCGGCAAGCCGCGAUAGUCCCGGGGGAGGCGCACACGGCC